rnacentral:rRNA from 1 species
AGAGCUCUCGAACUUUUAAAGACCCGCAAGGGUAUGCUGAGAGAUGGGCUUGCGGCACAUUAGUUAGUUGGUAAGGUAAUGGCUUACCAAGACUAUGAUGUGUAGCUGGACUGAGAGGUUGAACGGCCACAUUGGGACUGAGAUACGGCCCAAACUCCUACGGGAGGCAGCAGUAAGGAAUUUUCGGCAAUGGAGGAAACUCUGACCGAGCAACGCCGCGUGAACGAUGAAGUAUUUAGGUACGUAAAGUUCUUUUAUUAAAGAAGAAAAAAUGAUGGAAAAAUCAUUCUGACGGUAUUUAAUGAAUAAGCCCCGGCUAACUAUGUGCCAGCAGCUGCGGUAAUACAUGGGGGGCAAGCGUUAUCCGGAUUUAUUGGGCGUAAAGGGUGCGUAGGCGGUUAAAUAAGUCUAUGGUAUAAGUUCAACGCUUAACGUUGUGAUGCUAUAGAAACUGUUUGACUAGAGUUGGAUAGAGGCAAGUGGAAUUCCAUGUGUAGCGGUAAAAUGCGUAAAUAUAUGGAGGAACACCAGUAGCGAAGGCGGCUUGCUGGGUCUUAACUGACGCUGAGGCACGAAAGCGUGGGGAGCAAACAGGAUUAUAUACCCUGGUAGUCCACGCCGUAAACGAUGAGUACUAACUGUUGGGUGG